rnacentral:lncRNA from 1 species
AUGCCUUCCUCCAUGGGAGGCGGGAGGGACUCCAGGCCGCACGUUCGGAGGUGCCCGUUCAGGACUCCAGCUCCGGCCCUCUCCACGCUGGACGGAGUGGGUGGUGCAACACCAGCUCCUUCCCUACACUGUUUCUUGCUUCACAGCGUUCAGAGCCUGGCCUGCAGGGCACGGGAGCCCCCCAGGCUCUGGGCCCAUCCCGACUCAGUGAACGAAGCCACAGCCAGCGCUACCCCAAGCUGGCUCUCGGGGCGUCUCCAGACCAGAGUGCACCUCGGAAAGUCGUGCCCGGACAAGUCACCAGGCUACGCUUCCAUGAGAGCAGUUGGUGCUGACGUGAAUGGCUGCGUCUGGGAUAACGCACCCCCCCCACCACAGUGCUCUCCCUGGGGACCGCCUGCCCGCCCCCCGCAGCCAGGGCUAACCGGGUUACCUUGCUCACUAGCCCAGAGCUGCCCGUGCACAUGGGGGGCUGGUCUCUGCAAGGUACCCACGGCGCUAGAAGGCUGCCGUCACAGGGCCCGUGGACCCACAGCUACUGCCGGCUGUGUGCGACUGCCCACGCCCCCAUUCUCUCAGGUCACCCCACACCGAGGCCGGGGAAGGUGCACCGCUUGUUGCCAUUCCACAGAGGAGCAAACAGGCCACGUCCCAGGGCUCAGGCAUCAAUGCUGGGCUAGAGUCCGGCACUCAGUCCAGCGGCCACACGCUGGGGCCCCCCUGGUGGUGCCCCCUAUUCCACCCCCCCGUGCUGGGGCCCCAUCCCCCAACUCCCUGGGGUCCAUGAACCCUGCUGAUGUGGCUCAGGCCCAGGUCUCCGUGGCUUUGUCCCCAAGGCGUGCUCCCGUGGGUCCGAAUCCAGCAGGGAAUGCCACGGGGCCCCCAUCAUGUGCCCCGGACAGGGUUGGUAUGGGGCAGGAGGAGCCCCCAGACAUGGAGGGAGACAGGAGGAGGUCAUCCCCCCCGUGGGGACCCCAGGUCGCACAUGCCAUUGUGGAACCUUUCCCCCACGGUGCUGGAGGACAGGCACCUCUGGAGAGCGCAAGCCAUGGGAAUAAAGUGCCCUGCUUAGGGGAACGUGCACAGUGA